ensembl:lncRNA
AUGCGUGGACACGGUAACCUCUUAACGACCCGUACAGCCAUGUUUGCUGUUACUGGGUUCGUAGCAGGUGCUCUAAUUACUAAAGCGGUUCGAAGUGCUUAUGAAUAUUUUUAUGGAGACUCAGAAAAAGAGGAUUUAUCCUCUGUAGAACAACCAGAGUCUGAUUUUAAUAGCCCUGGACUCAAAAAACCAACUUCUCUUUGCUUAAACGUCGAACCAUCGGUUAUAGAUGAUGAAGGGAUGAAUUCUCUCUCUCUGAAAGCAAACAGAAUUGAUGUUGAAUAUUUUUAUGGAGAAAUAGAAGACGGUUCAUCCACUUUGUGGAAACCUGAGUCUGAAUUUAUCGCUACUGGACCCGAAAUAGCAACUAGUCUACUCAGAGACGUGGAACCAUCGGUUUUCCACGAAGAGAAGGAUUCUGGUUCCCACACAAGCCUCUCUGUGGCCCACGAACCACGGACUGAAAAACCAUUUUCUGAUUUCACGUCAGAUCACAUAACUACGUCAGAUUUGGAUGUGUGUGAAUUUAGAGAAUCUGGCUCAAAAUUUCCCAGCGAAGACUUCACUGGAAAUGAGGAAAGGUUUGUGAUUUUCAGAGAAAAACAGUUCCCUGCAGUUUUAGAGACGGCGUUCGGAGACCAGGCAGCAGAAAUACCGAUCUCUGCUCAGGAAUUUUCUGAACAACGCUUUGACGACUUGUCUUCGACGUCUGGUGAAGAUGACGGAUAUUCCUGUAGUCCAGAAGCUGCUUUUCUCCACUCUUCUUUUGAAGAUGUGUCAGCUUCUCAGGACGACGGAGUUACAUCAGGAAACUGUUUAGCAUCCGAAGAGACGAGUAAUUCCUCUUCUGUAACGCCUGCUGAAAAUGAUCUGUCGUUAUUUUAUACAGAAGACGAUCUCUCCUGGGACAAACCAGAUACAGACGUCUUUUUCACUUUUAAGGAAGGUUUUGGAGAAAUUCAGUCAGAAGAAUUGUCUUCAGCAAAGGAUUUACGUGAGGGUGACUGUUCUGCAACUACAGAGGGGCUUUUCGAUGAGAACGACGAAAAAUCGCUCUCUUUAGGUCAAAAGCUGGAAACGCCGCCCAGUUUUACAGAAUUAGAGGCUUUCAUGGAAGGAGAAGCGAAAACAUCUCCGGUUUCAGCAGAAGAUUUAGAUUACGUGUCUGACGGCUCUGAAAUGCUUCAUGACGCAUGUGAGACCUGGUCUGAGCCAGAAAGCGACCUUGACUCGUCUUACGAUGACAGCGACUUGCCUUGUAUGGACGAAGGAAUGGGUUGCAAACUCGGGUUAGAAACACAUGUGAAGGAGGUAAAUUGUGAAAAUAGAGCUUCUCUUAGCGGUUCUAAUCCUGAUACUGAAUGGGGCGAGGACGUUGGUCUAUCUCGGACUAAGAUUAUUUGGGAGAAUCAGGAUGACGAUCAGAUUGGUCUUUCCACAAUUAUAGAGGAGAACUUUGAGGAGAAUGAUGAAAAAUCACUUUCUUUAGAAGAAAAUGAGGAAACGUCUCCUACUGAUGAAGAAUUGGAGGACGUAGACGGUGAAACAUGCGUUUUUUCGGAAGGAGAACUGAGUGAGGGCGACACAGAUUCAGAGAAAAACUCUGAUUUGCUCUCUGACAGCUUUGAAAGUCUUGGUGGAGAUGAAACUAGUUGCUCCGAACAAGAAGAAGAAAGUGACGCUGAAUACUCGACGUCUGUGAGCCCUGUGGCUGAAACGUUCGUUUCAGAGCAGAAACCAGAUGAAGGUAAUUCUUCUCCUAGCUGGUCGCCCAGCUCUUGUCACUCUGAUGGUGAGGAUGAAACACAGAAUAUUUUAAAUGAUGAUGAAGAGGAAACAUCUUUGGUUACGGAGGACAGAUUUAAUCACAAGCCUGAUGAUUCUGAUGCAGGUGAGACAAUUCGCUCGGUUUUAGAGGUCGAUGUGGAUUUAUCACCUGAAGACACAAGUGGCCUUACAAAUAAGGAGGCUGAGCUAAAGAGACUAGAUGAAAUGGAAGCCAAACUUUUGUUGGAGCUUGGUCUAGAAGAUCUGUUAUGUGACAAUGUGGCUCCUAGCUUGUUCUCCAACCCAAAUAAGGAACCGAGUGAGGAUGACGAUGGAAGUUCUUUAAACUCAGAUGAGGAACUGAGUGAGAGUGACGAUGGAAAAUCUUUAAACUCAGAUGAGGAACUGAGUGAGAGUGACGAUGGAAUAUCUUUAAGCUCUGGUGAUGAGGUUGAUGUGGACAUAUCAUGGUCAGAUAUUGAAGAAGGAUUAGCGAAUGGCUUAGAAUUAGAUGCAAAUGCAGUUCAAAGGUUGUGGGAUUUUGCAAGGAAAGGUAAAACAUCUCAGAGAAGAGAAGAAAGCAACGUUGAAAAAGUAAGUUCAGGUGAGGAUGAUGGAAAAUCUUCAUAUGAGAAGACACGUGUGGACGAAGCUUUUCCAAGCAUGUCCUCCAGGAUCUCGUACGAGCCAACCCCGCAUCGUCAGAGGAAAAAUAAUGGAUGUAAGGUUGAAGAAAAAUCAUCAGUUACUACAGGAAAGAGUUCAGGAGUAAAUAAAAGUGGAACC